rnacentral:rRNA from 1 species
GACGAACGCUGGCGGCGUGCUUAACACAUGCAAGUCGAACGGAAAGGCCCUGCUUUUGUGGGGUGCUCGAGUGGCGAACGGGUGAGUAACACGUGAGUAACCUGCCCUUGACUUUGGGAUAACUUCAGGAAACUGGGGCUAAUACCGGAUAGGAGCUCCUGCUGCAUGGUGGGGGUUGGAAAGUUUCGGCGGUUGGGGAUGGACUCGCGGCUUAUCAGCUUGUUGGUGGGGUAGUGGCUUAACAAUGCUUUGAGGGGUAGCCGGCCUGAGAGGGUGACCGGCCACAUUGGGACUGGGAUACGGCCCAGACUCCUACGGGAGGCAGCGGUGGGGAAUAGUGCACAAUGGGCGGAAGCCGGAUGCAGCAACGCCGCGUGCGGGAUGACGGCCUUCGGGUUGGAAACCGCUUUCGCCUGUGACGAAGCGUGAGUGACGGUAAUGGGUAAAGAAGCACCGGCUAACUACGUG